GACGAACGCUGGCGGCGUGCUUAACACAUGCAAGUGGAGCGACGAACCGGGGCUUGCCCCGGGGCAGAGCCGCGAACGGGUGAGUAACACGUGGGUAACCUGCCUCAAUGAUUGGGACAACCCGGGGAAACUCGGGCUAAUACCAAAUGUGUUCACUCCUUCUAAGGGGAGUGAGGAAAGGAAGCUUCGGCCUCCGCAUUGAGAUGGGCCCGCGGCCCAUUAGCUUGUUGGUGAGGUAACGGCUCACCAAGGCUUCGAUGGUAGCUGGUCUGAGAGGACGAUCAGCCACACUGGGACUGAGACACGGCCCAGACUCCUACGGAGGCAGCAGUGGGAAUCUUGCACAAUGCGCGAAAGCGUGAUGCAGCAACGCCGCGU
rnacentral:rRNA from 1 species